UACGUAGGGGGCUAGCGUUGCUCGGAAUCACUGGGCGUAAAGCGCACGUAGGCGGAUCUUUAAGUCAGAGGUGAAAUCCCAAGGCUCAACCUUGGAACUGCCUUUGAUACUGGGGAUCUCGAGUCCGGAAGAGGUGAGUGGAACUGCGAGUGUAGAGGUGAAAUUCGUAGAUAUCCUGAGGAACACCGGUGGCGAAAGCGGCGCGCUGGAUCCCUUCUGACGCUGAGGCGCGAAAGCCAGGGGAGCAAACGGG
rnacentral:rRNA from 1 species